GACGAACGCUGGCGGCGUGCUUAACACAUGCAAGUCGAGCGGAGCGGCGAACGGGUGAGUAACGCGUGCGUAACUGACCCCCUCUCUGGGAUCACAGUUGGAAACGGCUGCUAAUACCGGAUAAAGGGGGAUGGCUCGCGGCCUAUCAGCUGGGUGGUGGGGUGAGGGCCGACCAAGGCGGUGACGGGUCGCCGGCCUGAGAGGUGGACCGGCCACAUUGGGCUGAGAUACGGCCCAUGCUCCUACGGGAGGCAGCAGUGGGGGCUAUUGCACAAUGUGCGAAAGCCUGAGUCAGCGACGCCGCGUGGGGGAUGAAGGCUUUCGGGUUGUAAACCUCUUUCGCUAUCGAAAGGGUAGGUGGAUAAGAAGCGCCGGCUAACUACGUGCCAGCAGCCGCGGUAAUAC
rnacentral:rRNA from 1 species